rnacentral:lncRNA from 1 species
AAGAAGCCUGAUGAUGAAGGAGAAGCAAAGACUCAAAAGUUAGACAAGAAGAAGCUUGGUAAGAAAGUAAGUUUUUCAGAAGAACCGAGAGCUCCCGUGCAGAAGAAGCAAGCUACCAAGGAAUCUGGACCAAGAAAAUCAAAACUGUUCACCAUCACGAGAACCGAAACCAAGAAACAUGGGAAAGGAAGGCAAGAAGAUUCGGGGAUAGGUACCUCUAAGCUUCCUUCUAGCUUGAAGAAGCUGGAGCUAGAAUGUUACCCUGAAAAGGAACCUCCGGUUUGGUUAAACCCCAAAACACUUG